rnacentral:rRNA from 1 species
AACGAACGCUGGCGGCAUGCCUAACACAUGCGAGUCGAACGAGACCUUCGGGUCUAGUGGCGCACGGGUGCGUAACGCGUGGGAACCUGCCCUUAGGUUCGGAAUAACUCCCCGAAAGGGGUGCUAAUACCGGAUAAUGUCUUCGGACCAAAGAUUUAUCGCCUGUGGAUGGGCCCGCGUUGGAUUAGCUGGUUGGUGGGGUAAAAGCCUACCAAGGCGACGAUCGGUAGCUGGUCUGAGAGGAUGAUCGGCCACACUGGGACUGAGAUACGGCCCAGACUCGUACGGGAGGCAGCAGGGGGGAAUAGUGCACAAUGGGCGGAAGCCGGAUGCAGCAACGCCGCGUGCGGGAGGACGGAAUGCGGGGUGUGAACCGCUUGCGCCGGGGAAGAAGCGUGAGGGACGGUAAUGGGUAAAGAAGCACCGGCUAACUACGUG